CCCAACUAGAAGCCAGGAAGAGCAGACACCUUGCUGAUGGAGCUCAAUGAGAAAGAGAUCCUGUCUGUGCUGAUGGGAGAGCUACCAAUGCAUCUGGUAAUGAAAAUGAAAGCAUGCCUCUUUCAGGAUAUCCAGCCAGUACAGGAAAUGAGACAGGACAAGACCGUGACAACUCAUGACAAGCAUCCUCAAUCUCCAGUGACUUUGUCUACCCUUUCUUCACUGCAAUUCCAAGCAAUGGCCUGUCAGACUGGAGAAUUCUACCACUGCAAAGACUUGUAACCAUUUUCUAGUAUGAGAUUUACUUUUCAAGACGUAAGGAUCAUUCACUGACCCACUACCUGCAUUGAGUAUAAAUGCCUGGAUAUUAAGGAUUCCAAUUUAACUUCGAAAAGAGCUGUCUUACUCGUUUACAUUCCCAUUGCAGUCAGCCCAGGAGGUUACAGUGAGCUCUCCACUAAGAAUCUGGAAGAAAUGCAUCACUAGGCUGAUUCCCAAUCUGAUCAGCUCAUAAUGGGUGAGAGAGCAGGUAAGAACAGAAGUCACCUUAGUGGAAAGGUUAAAAAGUUUUCUAGAGGCUGGAAACCAAGAUGACUGAUUUGAUAAGGUAUUUUAGUCUAGUUUUAUAUGAAUGGUUACAUUCAUAUAAAGGGUAACCAAUUAGAUUUAGGAUGAGUCUUAGGGACACCAAAGAGUAAAACUGUCUGUAUCUUUAAGAUUGCUAGGGAAAAGGG